ensembl:lncRNA
GGAAUUAAUACUGGGGAGGGGAGGGAGAAGGAGUGUCAGGUGUUGAGUGGGCAAGUCAGACCAGCUGUGGGAAUUACAGUUAUUGUCACUGGAGACAACACAGCCCUGACCUCCAGUAUAAGCUGCUGGAAGAUAUUAACACCUAAUUAUCAAGCCAGGGGUGCAUCUUACACCUUAAUCACUGGUGAGGUGAGACUGACAAAAAAGAGGAAGGGAGGUGUUUUCCAUGUUCCUUUCAGCAAGCAUCCAUCCUCUAACAGGGGGUCAUCACUUGCAGCAAAUGACAAUUUCCUUUUAGCCCUUUCAGUCUAUAGAAAAGCACAGUAACUUCAUUUGCUAGCAGGUAGGCAGUGGAGGUGAGAAUCGGAUUGAUCUGAAAUUGACCCUGAGGUCACUGCCUCCUUUAAAUUGGGUGCUACAGACAAAGUUUCUUUUCUUCUUCUCUGGCUCCUGCCAGCAGCCAAGCAGAGUCCUCAGUCAUUGGGGCGGGAGGUGGGGAGAGUGUUAGCAAUUAUUUAAAGGGAUUCUGACACCAGGGUUGAACCCCUACCCCAAACUUAAUCCAAGUGGAGACCUUUUUUUUUUUUUUUUUUAACCGAUGGUGGUUAAUUAAAGGGGCCUCCCCCCAUGGUGUGCCUCUGGCUUGUUUAUAUUUUAAAAUGAGGUUCAUUCCUGAUGCACAAGAAAUGGCAGGGGGGAAGCUGACAGUCGGGGUCUCUUACUGGGCUGACUUGAAGAAAUAGGGAAUAGAAUUUCCUGUUUCCUUUUACAUUUUUUCUUCCUUAUUUCACCCCGCCCCCCCCAACUCCCCCACUUCAAAGUCCUUUCAAAGCAUCUUGGGGUGCAUAGAUACGCCUGACAGUGCUGGAAAUGCUGCACUGCUUUUCAGAAGGCCAGGGGACUCUGCUGGGCACGCAGGCCUGGCCUCGCUCUCCGCCCAGCGGUGAGGGUCGCCAAGAGGGAGCAGAAAUCCCUUUCACCGAUUUUGAUCUUCUGGACCGCAGUUGAGAAGCGCUGUCUCGUUCCUUCGCUUCAGUGGGUAGUGCCUACUGGCGGUUCUGUCCUGAUGCCCAAAGACUAUUGCGUUAUUCAUUUUCCCCAGACUUUCCCUGCCCCCUUUUUUUCUCCUUCUCUUUUUCUCCGUUUAAAGUCUCAAAGCGAAGCAGUUCCUCACCACUGCGUCGUAGAAGGAAAGCGCACGUGCUUGUUUGGAGAUCUGGACCAGAGCUCUCCCUUCCAGGGAAGGAGCAGUGGUUUGGGACGGGACAGGCUUUCUGGAAGCCUCGGGGCUGCUGGGCUGCCCGGGAGGAGACCUCCCAGCAACGGCUGGAGAUCCAUCACACCUGCGCAAGCAAGGCCCCGGGGCAUCACUUUCUUUCCCAGGAGGCAAGGCCUUCCCACGUGUUUCCCACGUGCUCAGCGCUCUGCUGGUCCAGUGAAGCCCGUGGACCCAAAAUGCGCUGCUUUCAGAGUCUUCCCCAGCUGAGUUGUUGGGGAUAAAAUUCUUGGUAAAAAAUGGGAUGCGUUUGAAACACUCUGGUCUCCAUGGGGACCCUGGUUAAUUAAGAUGUUACCUCUGUUGGCGCUCCAAUUUGUUUCCCCUACCUGACCAGCCCGGUGGAAAACGCCCCAAGGUUGGUGUAACCAAAUGGCACGUGACCCGUACGUGCGGUAAACCCGCCCUACACGUGUGUGGGCGGAGAACCAGCUCCACUCCUAAACUCUGCUGAGAGGUCUUGAGUUGCAGCGUUUGGGCCUCGAAAUCGGGUUCCUGCUCCAGAGCAAGGGGUUCCCUAGUGCUCCAGAACUUGGAGCUUUCAGCAGCGGCAAGCACUGUGACGGUCACCGGCUCCCCACAGGAAAAAAAAAAAAAAGCACCUGCUGGCAUCACGGCAUCCCCACUAUCCCCACCUGCUGGCACGUCACUCCAGCAUCCCAGCCGUGGUACCCUCACCCCGAUGGGCGCUGGGCUGGGGCUCUCCAGCUGCUGCUUUUCUCAGCAGAGGCACGAUGAGAUUGCAGUCCCAGUGCGGACUUUGAGGUUGGGCUGCUCUCGUGUGAACUCUAAACCCUUCACCCAGGAAAUGAAAAGCAUUUGGCCAACCUCUCAAGGACUCUCACUUCUCUGAGGCACAGCUUUCCUAGCCUUGAGAUGGGGCAGAAGAAGGAGUCUGUUUCAGGGACCUCCCUGGCAGUCCAGUGGCUCAGACAUCACACUUCCACUGCAGGGGACACCGGUUCAACCCCCAGUCCUGGAAAGAAGAUCUUGCAUGCCGCGCGGUGCAGCCAGAAAAUUAAGUUCUUUAAAAAGAUGUGGCUGCGCUGGUCCUAGUGGUGGCGUGCGGGGUCUUGGAUCUUCGUGCUGCGUGUGGGAUCUUGAGUCACAGCUGGCAGAUUCUUAGUUGUGGCCUGUGGAAUCUAGUUCCCUGACCGGGGAUCGAGCCCACGCCCCCUGCUUUGGGAACGCAGAGUCUUAGCCACUGGACCACGGGGGACGUCCCUCAUGUUGUUUUUAAAAUGGAACAGAACAUAAAUGCUUUGAAGCCACUCAUGAAGAAUAGCCCUCUUACCCCAGCAGCAGGGAGACCGAGUCCAGCAGACCUGUCGUAGUUGGGUCAACAGCAGGGCCGGUGGACCCCUGCCGGCCCCAGGGCGGGUGCUGCUCCUCCUGCGUGUCUUGUCUGAGUGAGUUGGUACUUUCGACCGAGGGGCUCUUGCGAGAGGAACUAGCGGGAGAGUCUGUGACACACAUUUCACUGAAAUUAAAAAUUGCGGUGGCGAUGGCAAUUAUUUUGAAUUAUCCUCAGAAUGAUUAAGAAAAUGAUACCCUUAAAUAAAUG